AUACGUAGGUGGCAAGCGUUGUCCGGAUUUACUGGGCGUAAAGGGCGUGUAGGCGGUCUUGCAAGUCAGAAGUGAAAUUCCUGAGCUCAACUCGGGCGCUGCUUCUGAAACUGCAGGACUUGAGUGCUGGAGGGGAUAGCGGAAUUCCUAGUGGAGCGGUAAAAUGCGCAGAUAUUAGGAAGAAAACCGGUGGCGAAGGCGGCUAUCUGGACAGUAACUGACGCUGAGGCGCGAAAGCGUGGGGAGCAAACAGGAUUAGAUACCCUGGUAGUCCACGCCAUAAACGAUGAAUACUAGGUGUAGGGGGUAUCGACCCCCUCUGUGCCGACGUUAACACAUUAAGUAUUCCACCUGGGGAGUACGGCCGCAAGGCUGAAACUCAAAGGAAUUGACGGG
rnacentral:rRNA from 1 species